rnacentral:rRNA from 1 species
GAUGAACGCUGGCGGCGUGCCUAAUACAUGCAAGUCGAGCGAACAGAUAAGGAGCUUGCUCCUUUGAAGUUAGCGGCGGACGGGUGAGUAACACGUGGGUAACCUACCUAUAAGACUGGGAUAACUUCGGGAAACCGGAGCUAAUACCGGAUAACAUUUAGAACCGCAUGGUUCUAAAGUGAAAGAUGGUUUUGCUAUCACUUAUAGAUGGACCCGCGCCGUAUUAGCUAGUUGGUAAGGUAACGGCUUACCAAGGCGACGAUACGUAGCCGACCUGAGAGGGUGAUCGGCCACACUGGAACUGAGACACGGUCCAGACUCCUACGGGAGGCAGCAGUAGGGAAUCUUCCGCAAUGGGCGAAAGCCUGACGGAGCAACGCCGCGUGAGUGAUGAAGGGUUUCGGCUCGUAAAACUCUGUUAUUAGGGAAGAGCAAAUGUGUAAGUAACUGUGCACAUCUUGACGGUACCUAAUCAGAAAGCCACGGCUAACUACGUG